AUUGAACGCUGGCGGCAGGCCUAACACAUGCAAGUCGAACGAGUGGCGGACGGGUGAGUAAUGUCUGGGAAACUGCCCGAUGGAGGGGGAUAACUACUGGAAACGGUAGCUAAUACCGCAUACAAUCGGCUUUGCCCAGAUGGGAUUAGCUAGUAGGUGGAGUAACGGCCCACCUAGGAGACGAUCCCUAGCUGGUCUGAGAGGAUGAACAGCCACACUGCAACUGAGACACGGUCCAGACUCCUACGGUAGGCAGCAGUGGGGAAUAUUGCACAAUUGGCGAAAGACUGAUGCAGCCAUGCCGCGUGGAUGAAGAAGGCCUUCGGGUUGUAAAGUACUUUCAGCGAGGAGGCGUUACUCGCAGAAGAAGCACCGGCUAACUCCGUGCCAGCAGCCGCGGUAAUUC
rnacentral:rRNA from 1 species